rnacentral:rRNA from 1 species
UGGGAAUUUGGACAAUGGGCGAAAGCCUGAUCCAGCAAUGCCGCGUGUGUGAAGAAGGCCUUCGGGUUGUAAAGCACUUUUGUCCGGAAAGAAAUCCUUGGCUCUAAUACAGUCGGGGGAUGACGGUACCGGAAGAAUAAGCACCGGCUAACUACGUGCCAGCAGCCGCGGUAAUACGUAGGGUGCAAGCGUUAAUCGGAAUUACUGGGCGUAAAGCGUGCGCAGGCGGUUUGCUAAGACCGAUGUGAAAUCCCCGGGCUCAACCUGGGAACUGCAUUGGUGACCGGCAGGCUAGAGUAUGGCAGAGGGGGGUAGAAUUCCACGUGUAGCAGUGAAAUGCGUAGAGAUGUGGAGGAAUACCGAUGGCGAAGGCAGCCCCC